UCUGUACGCUUACGUACAGGCCGCCGGAAAUACUGCAGAGCUAGGGAGUGGGAGAGGUAGACGGUACUCGGGAGGAAGUGGUAAAAUGCUUUGAUCUCUCGAUGACCACCUGUGGCGAAGGCGGUCUACCAGAACACGUCCGACGGUGAGGGAUGAAAGCUGGGGGAGCAAACCGGAUUAGAUACCCGGGUAGUCCCAGCUGUAAACUAUGCAAACUCAGUGAUGCGUUGGCUUGUGGCCAAUGCAGUGUUGCAGGGAAGCCGUUAAGUUUGCCGCCUGGGAAGUACGUACGCAAGUAUGAAACUUAAAGGAAUUGGCGGGGGAGCACCACAAGGGGUGAAGCCUGCGGUUCAAUUGGAGUCAACGCCAGAAAUCUUACCCGGAGAGACAGCAGAAUGAAGGUCAAGCUGAAGACUUUACCAGACAAGCUGAGAGGUGGUGCAUGGCCGCCGCCAGCCCGUGCCGUGAGAUGUCCUGUUAAGUCAGGUAACGAGCGAGAUCCCUGCCUCUAGUUGCCACCAUUACUCUCAGGAGUAGUGGGGCGAAUUAGCGGGACCGCCGCAGUUAAUGCGGAGGAAGGAAGGGGCCACGACAGGUCAGUAUGCCCCGAAAAUCGUC
rnacentral:rRNA from 1 species